rnacentral:rRNA from 1 species
GACGAACGCUGGCGGCGCGCUUAACACAUGCAAGUCGAGCGAUGAAAUCUUAACAGAACCCUUCGGGGUGAAGAUACGACGGAUUAGCGGCGGACGGGUGAGUAACACGUGAGUAACCUGCCUUUUACACAGGGAUAGCCUCAGGAAACCGGGAUUAAAACCUGCUGAAACUAUCAAAUCACAUGAUUAAGAAAGUUAAAACUCCGGUGGUAAAAGAUGGACUCGCGUCCCAUUAGCUAGUUGGUGAAGGUAACGGCCCACCAAGGCAACGAUGGGUAGCCGGCCUGAGAGGGUGAACGGCCACAUUGGAACUGAGAAACGGUCCAAACUCCUACGGGAGGCAGCAGUGGGGAAUAUUGCACAAUGGGGGAAACCCUGAUGCAGCGACGCCGCGUGAGCGAAGAAGGCCUUCGGGUCGUAAAGCUCUUUUAUAUGGGAAGAUAAUGACGGUACCAUAAGAAAAAGCCCCGGCUAACUACGUG